UGUCGAUUGGUGAACAGCGGGAGGGAUCAUUA
rnacentral:rRNA from 1 species